rnacentral:rRNA from 1 species
GAUGAACGCUGGCGGCGUGCUUAACACAUGCAAGUCGAACGGAAAGGCCCUGCUCUUGUGGCGUGCUCGUGUGGCGAACGGGUGAGUAACACGUGAGUAACCUGCCCCUGACUUUGGGAUAACUUUAGGAAACUGGGGCUCAUACCGGAUAGGAGCUCCUGCUGCAUGGUGGGGGUUGGAAAGUUUCGGUGGUUGGGGCUGGACUCGCGGCUUAUCAGCUUGUUGGUGGGGUAGUGGCUUACCAAGGCUUUGACGGGUAGCCGGCCUGAGAGGGUGGCCGGCCACAUUGGGACUGAGAUACGGCCCAGACUCCUACGGGAGGCAGCAGUGGGGAAUAUUGCACAAUGGGCGGAAGCCUGAUGCAGCAACGCCGCGUGCGGGAUGACGGCCUUCGGGUUGUAAACCGCUUUCGCCUGUGACGAAGCGUGAGUGACGGUAAUGGGUAAAGAAGCACCGGCUAACUACGUG